rnacentral:rRNA from 1 species
GUAGGGGGCAAGCGUUGUCCGGAUUUAUUGGGCGUAAAGAGCUCGUAGGCGGUUCGACAAGCCGACGGUGAAAUCUCCACGCUCAACGUGGAGGGGUCCGUCGGAACUGUCGUGACUAGAGUCCGGUAGGGGAGUGUGGAAUUUCCGGUGUAGCGGUGAAAUGCGCAGAGAUCGGAAGGAACACCCCUAGCGAAGGCGGCACUCUGGGCCGUGACUGACGCUGAGGAGCGAAAGCGUGGGGAGCAAACAGGAUUAGAUACCCUGGUAGUCCACGCCGUAAACGUUGGGCACUAGGUGUGGGGCUCUAUCAACGGGCUCCGUGCCGUAGCUAACGCAUUAAGUGCCCCGCCUGGGGAGUACGGCCGCAAGGUUA